AUGGCGGCGUCCGGAGCGGCAGCAGCGGCGCUGGUGCAGUAUGUGGUAUUGCGGGGGGAUCUGGCCCGGCCGCCGCGGUCGUGGCCGCUGGGCGCGGUGGUGGCUCAGGGCUGUCACGCCGCUCUGGCAGCCGCGCACAGACACCGCCAGCACCCCGACACCCGUGCCUACCUGGAGCUGGGCGGCGCCAUGCGUACUGUCGUGCUGGAGGCUCCGGAUGAGGCUGCCCUGACGGCACUGGCGGAGACCCUGAAGCAGCACAGCAUUGACCAUGAAGUGUGGACUGAGCAGCCUGAGAACACGGCCACCUGCCUGGCGCUCAGGCCCUAUCCAAAGGACCAAGUGCACCAGCACCUGAAAAAAUUUAAGCUAUUGAAGUGACCGGGCACUGGCAGCUCUCCUGGGCCAAAGCCGAGCUCACUCCCGGGUGGGAGUUGGGAGGAAAGCUGCUGUGCCUCAGGAGUGCUAAUGCUCAGCAGCAGCGCUUUGGGAUUUAAGAGGCCCCCAAAACUCUGUGCAGUCACUGAUUUCCAGCUUCCCAGUGCCAUGAACCGUAGUGACAGAGGAGUUCCCACUGUGAGAGUGUGAGGACGGGGUGACUCCCCCCCCCCGCUGCCAACACCAUCGGCACUGCUCCGGCAUCCCCACCAGCACAGAAACACCAAAACGUUCGCUGGAAACUCGGGUUCUUUGUUUUGUUUCUUUUCUUUUAACUCUUGCAAAUGUCAAUCGAUAAAGCCACACAUUUUUCCACACACCAGCGCGAUUUUAGAGGGGACUGGGGGAAAAAGCCCCUCCACAGCCACCCUCCAAUAAAACUCAGCAGUAAAUAUUAAAAGCAACCCGGAUUAAAAGAGAAGAAACCAAAUUUAUACAGAGCUCAGAGCUAUUUACAGUGACAGGCUUGAGGGGGAAAAAAAAUAAGCUGUCUCCCAGCAGAGAAUUCAAUUAUUAUUAUUAUUUUAUUAUUAUUAUUUUAAAUAGUUUAAGCUACCUCAGCUGUUAAACACAAUCAAAGCAGAAACAACCGACUGCUUAAUUUUAUUUCAUAUUUAAUCAGAAAAUUUUAUCUACAAUAAUUGACAGACCCCUCCCCCCAUCCUUCCCCCUAAAAAUUAUUGCAGUUUUCUCCCCAAACUGUUCUGUUCUUGUCCUUUUUUUUUUUUGUCUUUUGUUGUUUUUUUUCCUCCUCCUGUUGCAAUAUACAAGUUGUAACCCCCCUCCCCCCCCCCUUUCGCUUGGAGGCCUGAAACCAGCAUAAAACAUGGAAAAAAUGGUGGGUCAAAAUACUCUGGGUUUUGUUUUUUUGUUUGGUUUUCUGUUUUUUUUUCUUUAAAACCGACAAACUCACGAUUGCUAGAAAAAGCUGAUUGUACGCACAAGCGGGCUGGGGCAGAGGGGAGAGAAGGGCUUUUGUUUGAAGCGUGAAUAACAAAAACGACUUUUCCCCGCACAAGUCCAGCGCCGAUCCCCUUCCGUGCCCCGCGCCGAGACGUGAUCAGUGACAGAUCCAGCUGAAACUGAGAUUGCUCUUCCUCCUCCUCCUCCUCCUGCCGCCGCCGCAGUCCUCCAGCUGCCUUCUCCCCCUCCCCGCCUCCCCGAGAAACCUUCCUCCGGAUUAAGAAGCCAGCAAAAUGAUUACAAAAAUAAGAAUCAUCUGUAAUUUUGGCUCGAGUAACCGACCGUCCCGCCUCGUCACUUCGCCCACAUCCAACGCUUUGUAAAAUAAAAAGAGAAAAUAAAAGGGGGGGGG